GACGAACGCUGGCGGCGUGCCUAAUACAUGCAAGUAGAACGCUGAAGAGAGGAGCUUGCUCUUCUUGAAUGAGUUGCGAACGGGUGAGUAACGCGUAGGUAACCUGCCUUGUAGCGGGGGAUAACUAUUGGAAACGAUAGCUAAUACCGCAUAACAAUGGGUGACACAUGUCAUUUAUUUAAAAGGGGCAAUUGCUCCACUACAAGAUGGACCCUGCGUUGUAUUAGCUAGUAGGUGAGGUAACGGCUCACCCUAGGCGACGAUACAUAGCCGACCUGAGAGGGUGAUCGGCCACACUGGGACUGAGACACGGCCCAGACUCCUACGGGAGGCAGCAGUAGGGAAUCUUCGGCAAUGGGGGCAACCCUGACCGAGCAACGCCGCGUGAGUGAAGAAGGUUUUCGGAUCGUAAAGCUCUGUUGUAAGUCAAGAACGAGUGUGAGAGUGGAAAGUUCACACUGUGACGGUAGCUUACCAGAAAGGGACGGCUAACUACGUGCCAGCAGCCGCGGUAAUACGUAGGUCCCGAGCGUUGUCCGGAUUUAUUGGGCGUAAAGCGAGCGCAGGCGGUUUGAUAAGUCUGAAGUUAAAGGCUGUGGCUCAACCAUAGUUCGCUUUGGAAACUGUCAAACUUGAGUGCAGAAGGGGAGAGUGGAAUUCCAUGUGUAGCGGUGAAAUGCGUAGAUAUAUGGAGGAACACCGGUGGCGAAAGCGGCUCUCUGGUCUGUAACUGACGCUGAGGCUCGAAAGCGUGGGGAGCGAACAGG
rnacentral:rRNA from 1 species